CCGAUAUCAAUCACCUCGAAAAGAAGUGCAUCGCUAAAACGCGGCAAAUAAAUGAGUUACAAGGGGAUAUUCAAAAUUUGAAAGAGAAACUGGUAAAUAAAGACAGGCAGAUUGCAGAUAUGCAGGCAAACCAAAACAGAAUGUAUGCAGAGAAUGAUAGUCUAAUGCUCAAGAGUGAAAAUGGCAGAACAGACAGCAGCAAGGGCAAGGGCUUCCCUACCAAAGACAGCAGAAACUGAAACUUUAGCC